GCAAUCUCAUCACAGAUCGAAGCAUCGAUCAAAUCGACCUAGUCGAUUACACGUCAAUAGGACCACUUCCGGUCAUUUCCACUAUUCCAACCAAUUUACAACAUCAAUUCAAGGCAAUGAUCAAUUGACCUAGUCGAUUACGUCUCAAUCAACCAUUCACCGAUCAUUCCAUUCAAUCAAUCAAUCCACAACAUCAAAUCAAGACAACGAUCAAUCGACCUAGUCGAUUACAUAUCAACAAGACCAAUUCCGGUCAUUUCAACUAUUCCAAUUCAAUUCCCAAUUAUGAAUCACGGUCCUUAGGACACAACUUAAUUAUAGGUGGUAAUCA
rnacentral:lncRNA from 1 species